GACACUGCAGCUUCAACUUCAGUUGACUGGCCACAUUCACAACAGAAAAUUGUGGGAGAUGAGUGUGAUCCAGGAGUGUCUGGAGCACCACCUGCCUUACCUCACAAUAGUACUUCAUCUAGUGGGGAAAGUGAUUCUAAUGACAUUACAAGAGGUGAUGUUGACACCAUUGAUGAAGAGGCUCUUCAGGCUAUAAAAGCACAUGCUGCCCCACCCAGACCUCACUAUGUUUCACAGUCCAGAGCAGCAGGUCCAACACAGCCUCAUCUGAAAAUAUUUCCUCGUACACUGCAAGGUAAC